CCAAUAGCGUAUAUUAAAGUUGUUGCAGUUAAAAAGCUCGUAGUUGAAUUUCGGAAUCUGUCCGUCGGUCGGGCUUCACUGUCCGCACUGGUGUGAUGGGUUUCUACCUUCUGAAUAACCGGCAUGUCAUUAAUUUGGUGCGCCGGGGAAGCAGAACUAUUACCUUGAAAAAAUCAGAGUGCUUAAAGCAGGAUAUCGCCUGAAUAGAUUAGCAUGGAAUAAUAAAAUAGGACGGCAUGGUUCUAUUUUGUUGGUUUCUAGGAUCACCGUAAUGAUUAAUAGGGAUAGUUGGGGGCAUUAGUAUUCAAUUGUCAGAGGUGAAAUUCUUGGAUUUAUUGAAGACUAACUUCUGCGAAAGCAUUUGCCAAGGAUGUUUUCAUUAAUCAAGAACGAAAGUUAGGGGAUCGAAGACGAUCAGAUACCGUCGUAGUCUUAACCAUAAACUAUGCCGACUAGGGAUCGGACGAUGUUAAUUUUUUAAUGACUCGUUCGGCGCCUUACG
rnacentral:rRNA from 1 species